GCCUAUCUAGUAUAUAUCAAGUACAGUAAGUUUCCAACUUAAAGGAUCAAUUGAGUUAGGUA
rnacentral:tRNA from 1 species